rnacentral:rRNA from 1 species
AGUGAACGCUGGCGGUAGGCCUAACACAUGCAAGUCGAACGGCAGCACAGUAAGAGCUUGCUCUUACGGGUGGCGCGUGACGGACGGGUGAGGAAUACAUCGGAAUCUACUUUUUCGUGGGGGAUAACGUAGGGAAACUUACGCUAAUACCGCAUACGACCUACGGGUGAAAGCAGGGGAUCUUUGGACCUUGCGCGAUUGAAUGAGCCGAUGUCGGAUUCGCUAGUUGGCGGGGUAAAGGCCCACCAAGGCGACGAUCCGUAGCUGGUCUGGGAGGAUGAGUCCCCACACGGGAACAGAGACAGAGACGACAAUCCUACGGGGGGCCACGGUCGGGAAUAUUGCGCAAGGGAGGAAAGCCUAAUACUGGCAUACCGGGUAGAUCAAGAAGCCGUUCUGCCUGUAAAGCCCUUUAGUUGGGAAAGAAAAGCAGCACGUUAAUACCCCGCUAUACUGACGGUACCCAAAGAAUAAGCACCGGCUAACUUCGUG